CUCUCAAACACGUAGAUCCCCUGAACGCAGCUCACUCUCCAGAUCCCAAUCACCUGAAUUCUGAUCACCUGUUCACACACCUGUAUGUCAUUAUCACAAACUAUUUAGUUCAGUUCUUUCCACCCCAUCACCGUGAGGUAUUGUUUGUUUUGUGACACACUUCUAUUCGGAGCGCUGGUGGUCCUGUUAGUUAAUCCUCCUGUAUGAUAGUUAUUGACUGCCUCAAUAACGACGCCUUUUGACUAUUCCAUGCCUCUAUUUUAACCUAUUGUAUUGUAACCUAUUGCCUGAUCUCCCGGACUACGCUACUAGCCUUUUCCCUGCCUGUACUGUGUAUGACCUUCAGCCUGUCCCUGGACCCAGCUGUCUCCCAUCGUGUUCAUUACACACGCUUGGCAUUCUCUCAACCAGCUUCAUGAGUUGUCGUCCCAUCCUGCUUCCCAGAGUUCUCAUCGUCUGCGUCCCCGUCCCCCCACCAGGAAGGCUGGCCAUACAGAGGGGUGCCCCUUUUUAGUACUGCAAUGUCCCCUGGGAAAGAAACAACACCAAGGUCCAUGCAGAGUGCAGACCCUCUCACCUGCCAGCUUGUCGUCCCCGGCCCCCUCUCUGCUGGUCUCAGGGGGUUUACUACCCACUGCCACCGCCCCGUCGGAGCCACCCUCGGAACCACCCUCGGCUGCAGCCUUGA